rnacentral:rRNA from 1 species
UACAGAGGUCUCAAGCGUUGUUCGGAUUCAUUGGGCGUAAAGGGUGCGUAGGUGGCGCUGUAAGUCGGGUGUGAAAUCCUGAGGCUUAACCUCGGAACUGCAUUCGAUACUGCGGCGCUUGAGGACUGGAGAGGAGACUGGAAUUCAUGGUGUAGCAGUGAAAUGCGUAGAGAUCAUGAGGAAGACCAGUGGCGAAGGCGGGUCUCUGGACAGUUCCUGACACUGAGGCACGAAGGCCAGGGGAGCAAACGGG